CAGCACCACUAUGCACUUUCUUCGCUACGCUGCCCUGUAUAACAUCAGCCAAUGGAUCCCAUUCAUUUAAUUAAUUAAACAUGAUGCAUGGGAAAGGAAUGUGGUGCCGUGUGUGGAUAUGAUCCGAAUUCUUCUGGGAGCACUUCCAUGCACUGCACCAGAGUACCUGUUGCUGUUGCUGGUUUUACUUGAAUUAUCUGGGUGAAGGCGAGGCCUGGUCUUAAUUCCGGUUCCACUGAUCAUGCAUCUCACUGCAGGGCCGCCACAACCAUCAGCUUCGAAAUCAUUUGAUACUUUGCGGGUGUUGUUAGCAAUACCCAAAUGAUUGUGCUCAUAACCAUAACCAUUAUGCUCAAAGGUAUGAUCUUCUUCACCCAGGAAUAGAGCUUCUUGUUUGAUGUC